rnacentral:rRNA from 1 species
GAGUUUGAUCCUGGCUCAGAACGAACGCUGGCGGCGUGCCUAACACAUGCAAGUCGAACGUGAUCCAGAGCUUGCUCUGGUGAAAGUGGUGCACGGGUGAGUAACGCGUGGAUAACCUACCCUGGUAUCCGGGAUAACAUUCCGAAAGGGGUGCUAAUACCGGAUAAGCCCACGGGCUCUUUGGAGCUUGCGGGAAAAGGUGGCCUCUAUUUAUAAGCUACUGUAUCAGGAUGGGUCCGCGUACCAUUAGCUAGUUGGCGGUGUAACGGACCACCAAGGCGACGAUGGUUAGCUGGUCUGAGAGGAUGAUCAGCCACACUGGAACUGAGACACGGUCCAGACUCCUACGGGAGGCAGCAGUGGGGAAUUUUGCGCAAUGGGGGAAACCCUGACGCAGCAACGCCGCGUGAGUAACGAAGGCCUUCGGGUCGUAAAGCUCUGUCAGAGGGGAAGAAAUGAUAUAGUGCUAAUACCACUUUAUCUUGACGGUACCCUCAAAGGAAGCACCGGCUAACUCCGUGCCAGCAGCCGCGGUAAUAC